rnacentral:rRNA from 1 species
UACGAAGGGGGGCUAGCGUUGCUCGGAAUCACUGGGCGUAAAGCGUGCGCAGGCGGUUCUGAAAGUCAGCUGUGAAAGCCCCGGGCUUAACCUGGGAAUUGCGGUUGAAACUACAGGGCUAGAAUCUGGCAGAGGGGGGGUGGAAUUCCACGUGUAGCAGUGAAAUGCGUAGAGAUGUGGAGGAACACCGAUGGCGAAGGCAGCCCCCUGGGCUGAGAUUGACGCUCAGGCACGAAAGCGUGGGGAGCAAACAGG